rnacentral:tRNA from 1 species
UAGCUCAGUGGUAGAACACUUGCUUAGCAUGCAAGAGGGCCUGAGUUCAAAUCUCAG